AUUGAACGCUGGCGGCAGGCCUAACACAUGCCAGUCGAGCGGAUGAAGGGAGCUUACUCCUGGAUUCAGCGGCGGACGGGUGAGUAAUGCCUAGGAAUCUGCCUGGUAGUGGGGGAUAACGUCCGGAAACGGGCGCUAAUACCGCAUACGUCCUGAGGGAGAAAGUGGGGGAUCUUCGGACCUCACGCUAUCAGAUGAGCCUAGGUCGGAUUAGCUAGUUGGUGGGGUAAAGGCCUACCAAGGCGACGAUCCGUAACUGGUCUGAGAGGAUGAUCAGUCACACUGGAACUGAGACACGGUCCAGACUCCUACGGGAGGCAGCAGUGGGGAAUAUUGGACAAUGGGCGAAAGCCUGAUCCAGCCAUGCCGCGUGUGUGAAGAAGGUCUUCGGAUUGUAAAGCACUUUAAGUUGGGAGGAAGGGCAGUAAGUUAAUACCUUGCUGUUUUGACGUUACCAACAGAAUAAGCACCGGCUAACUUCGUG
rnacentral:rRNA from 1 species